ACUCCUACGGGAGGCAGCAGUGGGGAAUAUUGCACAAUGGGCGAAAGCCUGAUGCAGCAACGCCGCGUGAGUGAUGAAGGCCUUCGGGUCGUAAAGCUCUGUCUUCGGGGACGAUAAUGACGGUACCCGAGGAGGAAGCCACGGCUAACUACGUGCCAGCAGCCGCGGUAAU
rnacentral:rRNA from 1 species